rnacentral:rRNA from 1 species
AGUGAACGCUGGCGGUAGGCCUAACACAUGCAAGUCGAACGGCAGCACAGUAAGAGCUGGCUCUUACGGGUGGCGAGUGGCGGACGGGUGAGGAAUACAUCGGAAUCUACUUUUUCGUGGGGGAUAACGUAGGGAAACUUACGCUAAUACCGCAUACGACCUACGGGUGAAAGCAGGGGAUCUUCGGACCUUGCGCGAUUGAAUGAGCCGAUGUCGGAUUAGCUAGUUGGCGGGGUAAAGGCCCACCAAGGCGACGAUCCGUAGCUGGUCUGAGAGGAUGAUCAGCCACACUGGAACUGAGACCCGGUCCAGAAUCCUACGGGAGGCAGGAGUGGGGCAUAUUGGACCAUGGGCGAAAGCCUGAUCAAGCCAUACCGCGUGAGUGAAGAAGGCCUUCGGGUUGUAAAGCCCUUUUGUUGGGAAAGAAAAGCAGCAGGUUAAUACCCCGCUGUUCGGACGGUACCCAAAGAAUAAGCACCGGCUAACUUCGU